GCGACAGAAGCCGCUGCACAUCUUUAACCCGUCCGUCCUCAACGAGCGCGAACGCUUGGAGGGUGGCAGCCUGACCAACAACAGCAUGAGCAGUAGCAACGAGUCGCUGUCCUCGCGGUCCUCUCGGGACCUCCACCAGACGACGAACUCGUCCAGCUCGUCACCGUACACGCGCGGCAAGCUGGGGAUCCUGUACCCGCCCAGUUAUCGCUCGCAGCCGGACCUGUCCGCCUCUGCGUCGUGCACUGCGCCGCCUGCCGGCGCUCCGUCCGGACAGUCGUUACCCAGGUAAUCGCUAGAUGGCGG